ensembl:lncRNA
GUCCCGUCCCACCGGGAGGAGACCCCGGGGAAGACCUAGGACACGCUGGAGGGACUAUGUCUCCCGGCUGGCCUGGGAACGCCUCGGUGUCCCCCCGGAAGAGCUAGAGGAAGUGUCUGGGGAGAGGGAAGUCUGGGCAUCCCUGCUUAGACUGCCGCCCCCGCGACCCGGCCCCGGAUAAGCGGAAGAAGAUGGUAUGGUAUGGUAAUUUCAAUUUAUUUUUAAGGGCAAGAAGGCAGAGGUAGGGGGAAGUUUUAGCUCUGCACAUGAAGAACAUUUGGAGAAGAUCAAGUGGCUGACUGAAGAGAAGGUCGAGCUGAGGGCACAGCUGGCUCUACAAUCAGAUUCUACAGGAGCCAUAAGAAAGAAUCUUUCCAGCCGGGAUGCCACUGAUGAGGCUGUCCAGAACCAGGUCCCCAGGUACCAGAAAGGGGCAGCUGACCGUGCAGGUGGGAGAUGACGUGGCAGUACAAUGGACCUGCCGUGAAUAUGAAUGACAUCUCCAACACAACCAAUAUUGCUGCUAAGCUGCAUUACUGUAUUAUUUUUUUUUAACUGCUGCUAUGUACAGUGUUAUAUAUAUGAUUGCAUUAUCCUCUUAAUAUAUUUAUAGCUCUGUGUGACUGUUCUUAAUUCUGACUGUAGUUGUAGUGUUAUGCCACCAUUCAUAAGCUUAUUGCACUGAUGUAUCUGUGAUAUUCAAUAACUAUCGAUUGCUGCUAGGUCAUACUUAUGUAUAUUACUGCCAUUCUAGCCCUUGUUUAUUUUGUAUUGUAUUAUGUUUAUUUUGUACUUUCACAUUCAAAUACUGUAAUUUUACUAUCUGUUACUGGACACGUUUUCU